rnacentral:rRNA from 1 species
CCCCUAGAUGUUCUGGGCCGCACGCGCGCUACACUGAACAGUUCAACAAGUCUUAACCUUGGCCGAUAGGUCUGGGUAAUCUUUGAACGCUGUUCGUGAUUGGGAUAGACCUUUGCAAUUAUGGGUCUUCAACGAGGAAUUCCUAGUAAACGCAAGUCAUCAGCUUGCAUUGAUUACGUCCCUGCCCUUUGUACACACCGCCCGUCGCACCUACCGAUUGGAUGGUCCGGUGAAGCCUCGGGAUUGUGGCGGUUGCCUUUAUUGGUGGCCGCCGCGAGAACUUGUCUAAACCUUAUCAUCUAGAGGAAGGUGAAGUCGUAACA